rnacentral:sRNA from 1 species
CUGUGCGCCCCUCCCACAAAGAAGGCCACACCCCCUUCCGGUGGCUGUGGUGCGGGGAGGUGAGGAGGCGAGUCGGGGCGGGGCUCGGCCUAACGAGCAAGGAGCUGAACCGCCCCUUGGUGGUUGCCUCAGGAAAGAGCCAGAUUUGUUUGUUUGUUUGCUUAUAGCCUUUCCUUCUCUCAACUCCUCUCUCGUCCAGAAAUAGAGGUAAAGUUCCAAGGCCAAGUCUCAUAAAACGCCCCCGCGUGCAAACAAGUGACUGGGCUGCUGAGACAUACUCAGUGUGGGAUGACUACAGGAUUGGGCGAGGAUGAAAGAGACAUGAGAUUGUACUGUCUACUUAUAAAAGCUUCCCCUAGUGUGGCUGGCACGUUUGAGAAACGUGCACGCCCUGGUUAUAUGAGGUAUGAAAAUGCAGUGAGAAAAGAUGGAUAUAUCACAUUGAAGAUGCAGACAAAAAGGGAAGUGGAGAAAGAAAGUGACCCAGAAAUGUAGAGAAAGCUGACUGCUUGGAUUUGAAAGUUAGAAGAUGGAUGGAUCAAGAAGCAGCUGCCUGUGGGAGAUGAGACAGAUGAAAAGGAAGUGCCUAGAGAACCAUUGGUGGGGUUGGCCAAGUGCUGAGAGGACACUGCCUCUAAUCGUUUGAUUCAGCGUCCUGUUGGAGUCUGACCCAUCCAUCUGCUGUCUCCAGAUGUCUUCCAUUCUACCACAUGCAUGUGCUGUGGCUGGUUCUCUGUCCUUGCUCUUUAAUUCACUCCUGGUCUGUCUACUACCUGCAUGAAUCAGCUGAUCCAGAAUUUCUUCACUCUGUGGCUCCCCCAGUCACGAUCACAUCCUGUUUACAGUUCCUUGAUAUACGACAACUCUGAUGUGCACACUAUUCAUACUAGCCACAUCGUGACAUGAGAGACUAUGG